UACGUAGGGUGCGAGCGUUGUCCGGAAUUACUGGGCGUAAAGAGCUCGUAGGUGGUUUGUCGCGUUGUCCGUGAAAACUCACAGCUCAACUGUGGGCGUGCGGGCGAUACGGGCAGACUGGAGUACUGCAGGGGAGACUGGAAUUCCUGGUGUAGCGGUGAAAUGCGCAGAUAUCAGGAGGAACACCGGUGGCGAAGGCGGUUCUCUGGGCCUUACCUGACGCUGAGGAGCGAAAGCGUGGGGAGCAAACAGG
rnacentral:rRNA from 1 species